rnacentral:rRNA from 1 species
GACGAACGCUGGCGGCGUGCCUAAUACAUGCAAGUAGAACGCUGAAGGAGGAGCUUGCUCUUCUGGAUGAGUUGCGAACGGGUGAGUAACGCGUAGGUAACCUGCCUGGUAGCGGGGGAUAACUAUUGGAAACGAUAGCUAAUACCGCAUAACAGUAGAUGUUGCAUGACAUUUACUUAAAAGGUGCAAUUGCAUCACUACCAGAUGGACCUGCGUUGUAUUAGCUAGUUGGUGGGGUAACGGCUCACCAAGGCGACGAUACAUAGCCGACCUGAGAGGGUGAUCGGCCACACUGGGACUGAGACACGGCCCAGACUCCUACGGGAGGCAGCAGUAGGGAAUCUUCGGCAAUGGACGGAAGGCUGACCGAGCAACGCCGCGUGAGUGAAGAAGGUUUUCGGAUCGUAAAGCUCUGUUGUAAGAGAAGAACGAGUGUGAGAGUGGAAAGUUCACACUGUGACGGUAUCUUACCAGAAAGGGACGGCUAACUACGUG